rnacentral:lncRNA from 1 species
ACCCGCGCUCGGCUCCCUGCUCGGUCGGGCUGGAACCUGUACUGGCAGCCGGAGGUGUAGGUAGGAACCGGAAUACCUCGGAAGCCGGGAAAUGGACUCAAUGAUCUUUGAGGAUGUGGCUGUGAACUUUACCCAGGAGGAGUGGGCUUUGCUGGAUCCGUCCCAGAAGAAACUCUACAGAGAUGUGAUGUGGGAAAUCAUCAGGAACCUGAUGUCUGUAGGAAUAAAAUGGGAAGACCGGAACAUUGAAGAUCAGUACAAAAAUUCCAGGAGAAAUCCAAGAAAUCAUAUGGCAGAGAGACUCUGUGAAUGUAAAGAUGGUCAAUGUGGAGAAACUUUCAGCCUGAUUCCAGAUGGUAUAAUGAACAAGAACACUCUUCCUGGGGUAAAACCAUGUGAAAGCAGUGUGUGUGGAGAAGGCAACGUGGAUCAUUCAUCUCUGAAUUGCUACAUCAGAGCUGACACUGGACACAAACCGUAUGAGUGUCAGGAACAUGGAGAGAAGCCACAUAAAUGUAAGCAGUGUGUAAAAACCUUCAGCUGCCUCCACUCCUUCCAAACACAUGAAAAGCCUCACACAGGAGAGAAACCCUAUGAUUGUAAGGAAUGGGAAAAAACCUUCGAUUCUCCCCAAACCGUUCGAAGAUACAGGGUAGUGCACAGUGGAGAUGGACCUUAUAAAUGUAAGUUUUGUGGGAAAGCCUUUGAUAAUCUCAGUUUAUAUCUCACACAUGAAAGAUCUCAUACUGGACAGAAGCCAUAUGAAUGUAAUGAAUGUGGGAAAGCCUUUGGUUUUCCCAGCUCCUUUCAUAGACAUGAAAGAAUGCACACCGGGGAGAAACCAUAUGAAUGUAAGCAAUGUGGGAAAACCUUUAGUUGUUCCAGUUCCAUUAAAAAACAUGAAAGAAUCCACACUGGAGAGAAGCCCUAUGAAUGCAAGCAAUGUGGGAAAGCCUUCGCUUCUUCCAAUUCCUUUCAGUAUCAUGAAAGGACUCACACUGGAGAGAAACCCUAUGAAUGUAAGCAAUGUGGGAAAGCCUUUAAUUGUUCCAGUUCCCUUAGAAAACAUGCAAGAAUUCACACUGGAGAGAAACCCUAUAUAUGUAAACAAUGUGGUAAAGCUUUUAGAUUUCCCAGUUCUAUUAAAAAUCAUGAAAAGACUCACACUGGAGAGAAGCCCUAUGAAUGUCAGGAAUGUGGGAAAGCCUUCAGAUAUUCCAGUUCACUUCGAGUACAUAAAAGAAUUCACACUGGAGAGAAGCCGUAUGAAUGUGAGGACUGUGGGAAAGCCUUCAGUCAUCCCACGACCUUUCAUAGACAUAAAAUUACCCACACUGCAGAGAAACCUUAUGAAUGUCAGGAAUGUGGGGAAGCCUUCCGUUAUCCUGUUGCUUUUCGUAGACAUAAAAUUACCCACACUGCAGAGAAACUUUGAGUGUAAGGAAUGUGGGAAAGCCUUCUGUUAUCACAGUUCCCUUCAAAGACAUGAAAGGACUCACAACGGAGAAAAGUUGUGUGGAUAUAAAAAAUGUAAAGCCGGCUGGGUGCGGUGGCUGACGCCUGUAAUCCCAGCACUUUGGGAGGCCAAGGCGGGCGGAUCAUGAGGUCAAGAGAUUGAGACCAUCAUGGCCAACAUGGUAAAACCCCAUCUCUACUAAAAAUACAAAAAUUAGCUGGGCGUGGUGGCAUGUGCCUGUAGUACCAGCUACUUGGGAGGCUGAGGCAGGAGAAUUGCUUGAACCUGGGAGGUGGAGGUUGCAGUGAACCGAGAUUGUGCCACUGUACUCCAGCCAGGUGACAGAGUGAGACUCCGUCUCAAAAAAAAAAAAAAAAAAAGUAAAGCCUUCCACUAUUCCAGUACCUUCUGAAACCAUGAAAGAACUGACACUUGAGAAAAACAAUGAUGUUAGGAACAUGGGAAACCUUUCCUUUCUCUCUCAAUCGUUUGAAGGCAUAUGGUGUGACAUGCUGGCGAUAGACCUCAUAACUGUAAGGAACAUGGAAAACGAUUCUUGUUUUCCAUGCUCCUUGUUUAUUUUAGAUACAUGAAAGAAUUUACUCUGGAGAGAAACUAUGAGUGUAAAAAAUGUGGUAACGCCUUGUGUAGUUUCUGUUUCUCUGAAAUACUGUCAUGUCCUGGUAUUCUCAGGGGAUUAGUUGCAGGCACCCCGCUCCCCACUUCAGAACAUCUAAAUCUGAAGAUGCUCAAGUGCUUUAUAUAAAAUGGUGUAUUUUCCUAGAACCUAAGCACAUCCUCUUGUACACUUUAAAUCAUCUCUAGGUUAUCCAUACUGCCUAAUGCAUUGUAAACGAUAUAAAAAUAGUUGUUUCAUUGUGUUAUUUAGGGAAUGCUGACAAGAAAAAACAUCUGUAGAUGUUUAAUACAGAUAACCAUCACAUGCCCACCUCCAUAGUACAGGCCCACCUCAUAGUAUAUGUCAGCUACAAUGAAACAUUUUCUUUUUUUUUUAAAAAACGUUUUGGAUUGGUUUCAUUUAAUGGCCUCAAAAACACGUGUUAACAUUCUCCAAAUCCUUGGUUCUUCUCUCCUGAUAACCCUCAUGUGAUGAUUGCUCUGUGGUUCCUAAAGCUGCAGUGUGUUGAGGUGCUUAGAUAUGUGGCAGUGUAGAUAAGUCAGGGGACAUCAGUUUAACUUGAAUUUUCUUUUUUUUUUUUUUUGAGAUGGAGUCUUGCUCUGUCACCCAGGCUGGAGUGCAAUGGUGUGAUCUCGGCUCACUGCAACCUCCACCUCCUGGGCUCAAGUGAUUCUCCUGCCUCAGCCUCCCAACCAGCUGGGAUUACAGGUGCCCGCCACCACACCCGGCUAAUUUUUGUAUUUUUAGAAGAGAUGGGGUUUCACCAUGUUGGCCAGGCUGGUCUUGAACUCCUGACGUCGUGAUCUGCCCACCUUGACCUCCCAAAGUGCUGGGACUACAGGAAUGAGCCACCCUGCCCGGCCAGAAUUUUCUUUCAGGACAUCAGGAGGAUCCUCUGCUGGAAGAACCAACAUCUGAUUGCAGAUGUUGCCUCUUUGGUGGAAGGUCAGUAACACAAAUCUUGGAUCUGUGGUGUUUGAGGGCUGAAAAUAUUUAAGCAUCGAACUUUCAGUCCUUUUUUUUUUUCUUUUUUUUUGAGAUGGAGUCUCUGUCGCCCAGGCUGGAGUGCAGUGGCACGAUCUCAGCUCACUGCAACCUCUGCCUCCCAGGUUCAAGCGAUUCUCCUGCCUCAGCCUCCCAAAUAGCUGGGAUUACAGGCGCACACCACCAUCCCCAGCUAAAUUUUGUAUUUGUAGCAGAGACAGGGUUUCAUCAUGUUGGCCAGGCUGGUCUUGAACUCCUGAUCUCUGAUGAUCUGCCCACCUUGGCCUCCCAAAGUGCUGGGAUUAUAGGCGUGAGCCACCGCACCCUGCUGAAGUUUCAGUCUUCAUAAUUGCAGAUGCUUUAGUUGGAAACGUUGUCAUAGGAAAAGCUGUUUUUUCUUUCUCUUUGAAUCAUCAAACACAUCUUGCAAUGGUUUUGGCCAUGUUAUCUCUGGUGACCUGGAAGCGACUUUGAUAUUAAGCUUCAGAGUAUGCUGAAACAAGUCAAGACUUUUGGUGAUGUUAGGAUGGUAAGCAUGUAUUUUGCAUGUGAGGUCAUAAAUUUAGGGAGCAGGUAGAAAAUUAUUGCUUUAUUUGUCCCCUGAAAUUCAUAUUAUUAUUAUUUUUUUGAGAGAGUUUUGCUCUUGUUGCCUAGGCUGGAGCGCAAUGGCACAAUCUUGGCUCAAUGCAACCUCCACCUCCUGGUUUCAAGCGAUUCUCCUGCCUCAGCCUCCCAAGUAGCUGAGACUGUAGGCAUACGCCACCGUACCCGGCUAAUUUUUUGUAUUUAGUAGAGACAGGGUUUCACCAUGUUGGUCAGGCUGGUCUCCAACUCCUGACCUCAGGUGAUCCAUGCACCUCGGCCUCCCAAAGUGCCGGGAUUAUAGAGAUGCGCCACCACGCCCAGCCCUGAAAUUCAUAUUUUGAAACCUUACUCCCUAAUGUAUGGAAUGAGGAGAUAGGAUGCCUGGGAGGUAAUUAGGAUUACUUGGGAUCAUGAGGGUAGAGUUCUCAGGAAUGGGACUAUAAGGUUCCCUAGAGAGCUUGCAUUUGCUCUCUAUUAUGUGAGGACACAAUGAGAUGAAAGCCUUCUUUGAACAAGGAAGCUUGCCCUUACCAGGCACUGAAUCUACUAUCACUUUGAUCUUGGAGUUCACAAUCUCCUGUAUACUGAGGAGCAAAUGUUAGGUGUUUAAUACACCCAGCUUAUGUCAUUUUGUUUUAGGAGCCCCUGGUGGAUAAAGCACAACCCCAUUAAAAAAUAGGUGAAGGAGUUGAAUAGACAUUUCUCUAAUGAGGAUGUACAAAUAGACAAUAAUUACAUAAAGAAGAUGUUCAGCAUCACUCAUGGUUUAGGGACAUGCAAAUCAAGAGCAAAAUGACAUCUAUAUCCCCUCACCCUCAUUAGUUUGCUUCUGUCCAAGAACAAAAUAACAUGCUGGCAACGAUGUGGAAUAGUGAGGACCCUUGUACACUAUUGAUGGAAAUGCAAAAUGUCACAACUACUUUUGAAAACUAUAUGGCAGGCCGGGUGCGGUGGCUCAUGCCUGUAAUCCCAGCACUUUGGGAGCCUGAAGUGGGCAGAUCACCUGAGAUUGGGAGUUGAAGACCAGCCUGACCAAGAUGGAGAAACCCCAUCUCUACUAAAAAUACAAAAAAAUUAGCCGGGCAUGGUGGCCCAUGCUUGUAAUCCCAGCUACUCAGGAGGCUGAGGCAGGAGAAUCACUUGAACCCGGGAGGCGGAGGUUACAGUGAGUGGAGAUCGCGCCAUUGCACUCCAGCCUGGGCAACAAGAGCGAAAGUCCAUCUCAAAAAAAAAAACAAAAAAACAAAAAAAAAAACAACUGUGUGGCAGGUAAUCAAUACAUUGAAAAAAUGGAAAUAACAUCCACCAUUUUUCCCUUCUGGGAAUAUAAGCAAAAGAAUAGAGACGGGGGCCUGAAAUGGGUAUUUGUAUACAUGGUAUAGCAGUAUAACUUACCAAUAGGGAAAAUGUGGAAGCAACUCUCUUGUAUAUUGACAGAUGGAUGAAUAAGCAAAAGGUAGUAUAUGCAUAGGAUAGACUAUUACUCUGCCUUCAAACGGAAGGGUGACCUGACAAAUGCUACAGCAUUGAUGAACUUGGAGCACAUUAUGCUAAGUGAAAUAGUCCAUUCAUAUAAAGACACACCUUAUAAGGUCGAGUCACUUGAUUUUUUACAACCUGUCUCCAGACAUGGGCUCCUUAAACUCCAGACCCAAAAUGUUUUUGCUUAUAUGAGGUACUCAGAGGAGUCAAAUUCAUAAAGAAAGUAGAAUGGUGAUUGUGUGGAAUAGGGGAAGUGGGUAAUGGAGACUUAUGAUUUAAUGGCAUAAAGUUUCAAUAUUGCAAGAUGAAAAGGGUUCUGGAGAUAGAUGGUGGUGAUGGCUGCACACCAAUAUGAACGUACUGAAAGCCAGUAAUUCUACACUUAAAAAUUAAGAUGGGCCGGGCACAGUGGCUCACGCUUGUAAUCCCAGCACUUUGGGAGGCCGAGGUGGGUGGAUCACCUGAGGUCAGGAGUUGGAGACCAGCCUGGCCAAAAUGGCAAAACCCCGUCUCUACUAAAAAUACAAAAAUGAGCUGGGCAUGGUGGUGCAUGCCUGUAAGCCCAGUUACUCAGGAGGCUGAGGCAGGAGGAUCUCUUGAACCCGGGAGGCUGAGGUUGCAGUGAGCUGAGAUUGUGCCACUGCACUCCAGCCUGGGAGACAGAGCAAGACUCCAUCUCAACAACAACAACAAAAAAUUGUUAAGAUGAUAAAUUGUAUUUUUUCUGUAUUUUAGUACCAUUAAAAUACGUGGGAUUGGUCAGAGUGGUGGAUAGGGAAAGGACGCAAACCUUCUGAGAGGUUGGAAGGUUCUGCAGAGCCCUGGGGGAGAAUAGCUGAAGGUGGCUGUUCUAUAACCCUGAGGCAGAGGGCAUGGAGUAGGUACAAGGGAGUGUGGGGGAAUUUAUCUUAAACAGGCUUGUUUACUUGUGUUGACCAGGAACUGACCUUUCAUCAUCCCUGUGCCUGACGUUCCCUGAAAGGGGAACAAUAAGUGUUAAUUACCUACAGGUUGUGUUGGCUCCAGGUUUUUGGCAUUGUGCCUAGACUGAAUAAAAGCAAGCAGCUCCAGCUUCUUGGGGCUGCUUUCUGGCCACUAGAGCCAGGCAGUCACCUAGUUGCUGUUACACUGAAUACCUGUGUCUGAGUCCUCAUUUCAUCCGUUGGCCAGGGUCUGCAGGACAGACCCGGCAUUAAAAGAGUGGGGAGCCACAGUAGUGCAAAGACCCCACUGGACCACCAACAUACCAAGCAGUUCUUGGUUCAAUCCCUCCUUGUCCUCAACACUGUUUUUCCAUUUUCCUUGUCCAUAAAGGACCUGUUUCCACAUGCUUGCUUUGACUCUGAUGUCACCUUUAGAGUUGAUGCUCAGGCAUAGCUCACUUAACUGCCUCACCUUUUCUCUCCUGAUCUGGUUGUUGAUGGCUGUUGUGAGACAUUGGUUGUUGCCUUUUUAGUUUAAAAGGAUUCAAAUGACACACAGCAAUGGAGAUGCAGUAUAUGGCAAUUUAUUGCAAACGAAAAAGUAUUUUGAAAGUUAAGUGCAGAACAGACAGUAUGCCCUGAGAGAGAGAGGAGGAUUCAGGGCAGGCUGCUCAUAAGGAUGAGACAGCAAACAGUGGCACUAGGGAGACUUUUUAAAAAAAUUUUAAUAGUUAGAUUUCAGCUCUUUUGAGUGGUUUCAAGUCUGCUGUGGAGGAAGGGGGUAGGGGGAAGGUGGGCAUAGCCCGAGAGGCAACAGACUCCAGAACAUUCCAGACACAGUCCUUCAGAGGCUGGCUAGUAUUAAGGAAAGUGGUUAGGUUUGUGAGGUGAAACAGUGGAUGCUUGUGGCUUUUCCGCAGUGUGUGCAGUCAGGCCAGCUUGACUUGGAGGAAAGCCAUUCAACACAAAAAUGGCACCACAGUUACCCUGGAGGUAACUGUGAAGCACAGGGUUUGAGCCACCUCCAUCAUCCUCAGGGCACUGUGUGUUUCAGGAUACUCUGUGGCACUGCUUUCUUUUCUUUUCUUUUCUUUUUUUUUUUUUUUUUUGGACGGAGUCUCGCUCUGUCGUCCAGGCUGGAGUGCAGUGGUGCGAUCUCGGCUCACUGCAAGCUCCGCCUCCCGGGUUCUCGCCAUUCUCCUGCCUCAGCCUCCCGAGUAGCUGGGAUUACAGGCGCCCGCCACCGCGCCCAGCUAAUUUCUUUUUGUAUUUUUAGUAGAGACGAGGUUUCACUGUGUUAGCCAGGGAUGGUCUCAAUCUCCUGACCUUGUGAUCCGCCCGCCUCGGCCUCCCAAAGUGCUGGGAUUACAGGCGUGAGCCACAGCGCCUGGCCGAGAGACUCCUUUUAUGGGAAUCUUACAUGAUUAUUCAUAAGGGGCUGGGAAGAGGUGUUACUAGUAAGCACAUUCUGGGUGGUCUUCUGGGUGCACAUGCACAGUAGCUGCCCAUUCUUGUUCAUACGUCACAUCUCAUUAGCAUCUUAAAUCUCCACCCAGGGAUGUGGUUUUUACUAUUAUAAUGAGCAAAGGGUCAAUCUGAAGACAGGUAAAAUAAAAAUACGCGUGCUCCCUACAGGGGAAAUUCCCUACUGGAGAGAGCUUUGCUUGAAUGAGCUUGACUACAAUGCGAAUGCUGAGGCUUAUUGUGUUGACUGUACGAUUGCCAAGUCUCCAGGACAUGGUUACUUCCUUGGCUACCUAUCCUGUCUCAUGGUCCUCAGUCACUUCACACCCAUGAUGUAUGCUAACACCCUUCGGUUAUCUGUUUAGAAGGGAUAAUUAUUAUUUUUUUCUUUUUGAGACAGAGUCUCGCUCUGUUGCCAGGCUGGAGUGCAGUGGCACGAUCUCAGCUCCCUGCAACCUCUGCCUUCUGUGUUCAAGCAAUUCUCCUGCCUCAGCCUCCCGAGUAGCUGGAACUAUAGGCAUGUGCCACCAUACCCAGCUAAUUUUUGUAUUUUUAGUAGACGAGGUUUCACCAUGUUGGCCAGGAUGGUGUCGAUCUUCUGACCUCGUGAUCCACUCGCCUCGGCCUCCCAAUGUGCUGGGAUUACAGGCAUGAGCCACCGCGCCCAGUCUAGAAGUUAUAAUUUUAACUUUCCCUGAAGAACACUCAUAAACAUAAGUUAAGGAUUGCAAUGUUUUGUUCAUGAACAAAUCUUCCAGACUGUGAGAAUUAAGCAAGAUAAACUGAAAAUAAUAAUAAUGCGAUACAGAUUUUCCUAACUACAGAAAAUUGAGGAAACAUACUACAAAAUGUGGAAUGACUGACCUUUAAUUCUACCUGGGCUGGAGGUUCAAGAAAUGGACAGAAGGGGUCACUACAUGCACAGGAAAGAAUUUCCUAAUUUUACCAGUAGAGCUGAUGUUGAAGGAGAAAUAUGUGCUGUAACAAGAGAACUUCAAAGUAGGAUGAAUGAAGGAAAUCUUACCCCCCUAAUAAUAUGGAAUUUAUGCAGAAUCAAUUUUUACUUCAGAAGAUGGAGUUUCACUCUUGUUGCCCAGGCUGGACAACAACGACAACGCGAUCUCGGCUCACCGCAACCUCCGCCUCCCGAGUUCAAGUGAUUCUCCUGUCUCAGCAUCCCAAGUAGCUGGGAUUAUAGGCAUGCGCCACCAUGCCCAGCUAAUUUUGUGUUUUUAGUAGAGAUGGAGUUUCUCCAUGUUGGUCAGGCUGGUUUCAAACUCCCGACCUCAGGUGAUCCUCCUGCCUCGGCCUCCCAAAGUGCUUGGGAUUACAGGCAUGAGCCACCACGCCCGGCCUUCAUCAUAAUUUUAUAACUUCAUAAUACAUUGUUCUUUUUCUUUUUCUUUUUUAAAAGAUUCAAUGAUUUUUUUUAAAGCAAUAAAAAAUAGUAAAAAACCCUUUGUGUUUACUGAAGUGGUUAUCAUUUCUGGUCCUCUUCUUUCUUUCCGGAUUUCCACUUGGCUUCAUUUUUCUUUGCACCCAUGCAGUUUAGGGAUGUCUCUUAUGGAGCAAGUAUGCUGAUUACAAACACUUUCACUAUGGCUGAAUUAAUAAUUUAUUUUCCCUUCAUUUGGAAAGAUAUUGUUUGCUGGAUAUAGGAUUCUCAGUUGAUAUACUUGUUCUUUCAUUACUUUAAGGUAGUUGUUCUAUGGUCUCCUGAUCUGCGCUGUUGCUGGUAAUAAGUAUGUAAUGAAUCCUAUCUUUGGUUCAGUGUAGUUAAUGUGUCUUUUUCCUGUUGCCUUAAAGCUAUUUUAAUUGUUCUUGCUGUGAAGUAGUUUACUGAUGAUGUGCUUGGUGUAGAUUUAUAUACAUAUAUGCUCAUGGUUUGUUGAACUUUUUUGAUUUCUGGGUUUAUAAUUUUCAUCCAGUUUGGCAAAUGUGAAACCAGUAUUUGUUGAAAUAUUUUUUGUCAUGCUCUUUCCUCUGCCAAAGAGUCUUGUUAUUUGCAUAUUAUGUCACUUGUAAUUUUCCCACUACACAGCUCACUGAUUUUCUGUUUUUUGUUGUUGUUGUUUUUUUUGCUGGGUGCUUCAUUUGGGAUAGUUUCUACUGCUAGGUCACAAGGUUCACUCGUCUUCUUCUCUGCAGUAUCUGAUUUGCUGUUUAUUCCACUCAGUGUAAUUUGUUAUCCCAGAUGUUGUUUUCAUGCCUAGUAGCUUGAAUCAUGUUUUUUUCUUUAGUUUUUAGAUUGUUUGGAGGUAAAAUAUACUAACAGAGAAUUUGCCAUUUCGAUCAUUUUUAAAAUGUGCCAUUUAGUUGUAGUAAAUAAAUUUACGAUGUGGUGUAACCAACGCAGCUAUUGAUCUCUAGCAUUCUCUCAUCACUCUAAACAGAAAUUGGGUACUCAUUAAACACGUCCCCAGUCUCCCUUCCCCCCAGCUCCUGAUAAUGUCUAUCCUACUUUCUCUAUGAAUUUGGCUAUUCUAGGCACCUCAUAUAACGGGAAGGAUACAAUAUUUGUCCUUGUGCUGGGCAUGGUGGUUUAUGCCUGUAAUCCCAGCACUUUGGGAGGCUGAGGCAGGCAGAUCACGAGGUCAGGAGUUCGAGACCAGCCUGACCAACAUGGUGAAACCCCGUCUCUACUAAAAAUACAAAAAUUAGCCAGGUAUGGUGGUGUGCACCUGUAAUCCCAGCUACUCAGGAGGCUGAGGCAGGAGAAUCGCUUGAACCUGGGAGGCAGAGAUUGCAGUGAGCCAAGAUCACACCACUGCACUCCAGCCUGGAUGACAGAGUGAGACUCUGUCUCAAAACAAAACAAAACAAAAAAUUUGUCCUUGUGUGUCUGGCUUAUUUCACUUAGCAUAAUGUUUUCCAGGUUCAUUCGGGUUGUAUCAUGUAUGAGGAAUUCAUUGCUUUUUCUGUCUGAAUGAUACUUCAUUGCACGGAGAAACCACACUUUGUGUGUCUACUCUAAACACUUUUCUUUUUUUGUAAAGAUUUUAAAAAUAUAUUUAAAAACUAGUUUGAGAGUAAUUGAAUUAAAUCAUUGACUGGAAGAGUUGUUUCUACAGUAAUAUUUUGGCUACUGUGAAUUAAGAUGGCUAUGAAAUUGGUAUACAUGUGUCUGUGUAAGACCCUGCUUUUACUUCUUUUGGGUAUAUACCUAGAAGUGGAAUUGCUGGUGUAAAGAGUAAUGGAUGUUUCCCUUUUCUUUUUUUCUUUUUUCUUUUUUUUGAGACGGAGUCUUGCUCUGUCACCCAGGCUGGAGUGCAGUGGUGCGAUCUUGGCUCACUGCAAGCUCCGCCUCCCGGGUUCACACCAUUCUCCUGCUUCAGCUUCCCGAGUAGCUGGGACUACAGGCGCCCGCCACCAGGCCUGGCUAAUUUUUUGUAUUUUUAGUAGAGACGGGGUUUCACCAUGUUAGCCAGGUUGGUCUCGAACUCCUGACCUCAUGAUCCACCCGCCUCAGCCUCCCAAAGUGCUGGGAUUACAGGCAUGAGCCGCUGUGCCUGUCCUGUUUUUGUUUUUGUUUUUGAGAUGGAGUUUCGUUCUUGCUGCCCAGGCUAGAGUGCAAUGGCGUGAUCUCGGCUCAUGGCAACCUCUGCCUCCCGGGUUCAAGUGAUUCUCCUGCCUCAGCCUCCCGAGUAGCUGGGAUUACAGGCAUGCACCACCACGCCCGGCUAAUUUAUUUUGUAUUUUUAGUAGAGACGGGGUUUCUCCACGUUGGUCUGGUUGGUCUCAAACUCCCGACCUCAGGUGAUCCACCCACCUCGGCCUCCCAAAGUGCUGGGAUUACAGGGGUGAGCCACCACACCUGACCUUCCUUUUAAAUUUUUAAAAUGUUUGCUUCAUAUAUUUUGGGCCUCUGUUAUUUAGUGCAAUUAUAUUUAUAACUGUUAUAUAUUCUGUAUGAUUUGAGCCUUUUAUAGUGCUCUUCUUUGUGUCUUUUAACAGUUUUUGACUUAGUCUAUUUUGUGUGACAAUUGUAUAGCCACCCCUGCUCUCUUUACAUUACUAUUUGCAUGGAAUAUCUUUUUCUUUCAUUCUCUUUCAACUGACUUGGGUAUUGAGAUCUACAAUGAAUGUGCUGUAGACAGGAUACAAUUUGAUCAUAUUUUAAAGAUUCAUUCUCCCUGCCUCUGUCUUUUGUUUGGCAAGUUUAUUCCAUUUAAUUACCGAUAACGAAGGCAUUAUGUCUGCCAUUGUACUAUUCGUGUUCUGUAUGACUAAUAGCUUUGUUUUUCAUAAAAUACGAGGAAUUCCUUAUGUUUUCAAAAUCAGUGUCUAGUUUCUUGGCUUUUGAUUGGAAACUUUUAUUAACACUUAAAGGAGGGAGCAUAGCCACACUCUGCAGAGGGGACAAGAGGGCAAGUUGAACUCCCAGAGCUGAAUCCUUAUGUAUCUUGCCUCAUCACCAUGACUUGGUAAUGAGGCAGGGACACUCUGGGGACCCAUUUCUUUUUCUUAUCUUUUUUCUUUUUUGAGACAGAGUUUUGCUCUUUCGCCCAGGCUGGAGUGAAGUGGCACAAUCUUGGCUCACUGCAACCUCUGUCCGCUCCCCCCGCCGCCCCACCCCGGGUUCAAGCGAUUCUCCUGCCUCAGCCUCCUGAGUAGCUGGGAUUACAGGCGCCCACCAUCAUGCCUGGCUAAUUUUUGUAUUUUUAGUAGAGACGGGGUUUCACCGUAUUGGCAAGGUUUGUCUCGAACUCCUGACCUCAGGUGAUCCAUCCGCAUUGGCCUCCCAAAAUGCUGGGAUUACAGGUGUGAGCCACCGCACCCGGCCUCUGGGGACCCAUUUCAACAGUCUGGCACCCAUGGUUGGGAAUAUGUUUAACCUCUAAAUUGGGGUUUUCCUGCUGAACUGCGUCUGAAAGACUGCUUCUCUGAGCUAGCUCAUGUUUUUGCUUUUUCUCUCUAUUGAUUCCUUUAUAGAAUAUUGCUGUCAUAUAAGUCCAGCUUUUCCGUGAAUUUAACAGUUUUAUCCUGUUAUCGAUGUGUUUUUAUUUUCUUGAAAAUAAGCAGAUUGAGACAUCAGAUGGGAGAAAGGCUUGACUAUGUCGCCAGCAGCCUCAUGCCAAAUUCCUGAUUCCUGGAGGACAGAGCCCCCCUCCUGCUCCAAGGCCAGGAGAUGGCGCCACUGGACAGUGAGUCUGGGAUUCCUAGCACACACUUGUGAUUGCUGGUCCAGGAAAAAGAAGCAGGAAGGGCCAUUAGUACAAUCAGUCAGGAAAUUCUGCUUAAGUGCACAUUUCUCCCCAGGAGAGUCGGGUCACUGCACUGGGAGGAAGCCCGCCUGCCAAGGGCUGUGUCUGGAACCUGUUCAUCGCGCUCCACUCAGCACACUGACAGACACCCACAGACGUGUCUGUAGCAUCCUCUGUCACACUGGGACCCGUACUGGCAGCAGGAGCCGUAGGGAGGACUGGGACACCUGGAAGCCAGGAAUUGGCACAGACACCUUCUGAGAAUGUCUUGGGUUGAGAUUCCCCUUUGGAAACUUUACAGUGAUGCGACCUCAGCCCACCCUCUGCCUUUUCCUGAUCCUGGGUUUCAGGACUACCUGGGGCUGGCCCAAGAUGCCUACAGCUGCCAAGUCUCUUGGGAAAGUCUAGUGAAUAUCAGCCCCUAGGUCGUUCCUCCCAAAGAGCCUGAGGUGUGGCGGUGAGGCCUCCCCAGGGAGCAGCUGGAUGCUAUGGGGUGGGACCAGUCUCCUAUAUCAUUAUUGUAAAAAACUAAUCCCUUGGGACACGCCUUUUCUUCUCCAACCCGUUUCCAUUCCUUGGGGACACAUGGCUAGUCAGCCAAUCAAAUUCUGGUAUGGAGGAAACCAAAUUAUUUCUGUCCUGUAAUCCUAGCACUUUGGGAGGCCAAGGUGGGUGGAUCACCUGAGGUCAGGAGUUCAAGACCAGCCUGGCCAACAUGGUGAAACCCCGACUCUACUAAAAAUCCAAAAAUUAGCUGGGCGUGGUGGUGCACCCUUGUAAUCUCAGCUACUCGUGAGGCUGAGGCAGAAUUGCUAGAACCCGGGAGGUGGAGGUUGCAGUGAGCUGAGAUUGCGCCACUGCACUCCAGCCUGGGCGACAGGGCAAGACUCCGUCUCAAAAAAAAAAAAAAAAAAAGAAGAAAUGAUUUCUGUCCUCUGGAUUCUCUCAGUCUAGUGAAAGAAGAAAACCACCCCCAAUGAGUUGUUGCAAGGACCUGAAAAGCACACAGUUGAGUGUCUUCUGGGAGGGUGGUCACUGAGCACUUCAGGGAGCAGCUUGGAGGUGGGGGGAUGUCCCAAGUGAUAGGAUGAUGUGACCUGACACUUGAGUCAGACACUUGAGUGUUUCAGGUCAGCACUGCCCCUCCCUGGGUUUAUCACCUUGAAAAAAUUGGUUUACUCAUUUCAGCUUCAGGUUUUUUUUUUUUUUUUUGAGACGGAGUUUCACUGUUGUUGCCCAGGCUGGAGUGCAAUGACGCGAUCUCGGUUUGCCGCAACCUCCGCCUCCCAGGUUCAAGUAAUUCUUCUGCCUCAGUCUCCCAGGUAGCUGGGAUUACAGGCAUGUGCCACAAUGCCCACCUAAUUUUGUAUGUUUAGUAGAGAUGGGGUUUCACCAUGUUGGUCAGGCUGGUCUCGAACUCCCGACCUCAGGUGAUCUGCCCACCUCAGCCUCCCAAAGUGCUGGGAUUACAGGCGUGAGCCACCAUGCCCAGCCAUCAGCUUCAGUUUUUUUUUUUUUUUUCUUUUAGGAUUGCUUUUAUGAGCUAGGCAUAUUUGUAUGGGAAGGGGGAAUUUUUUUUUCUUUUUUUAGUAUUUAUUUAUCAUUCUUGGGUGUUUCUCGGAGAGGGGGAUUUGGCAGGGUCAUAGGACAAUAGUGGAGGGAAGGUCGGCAGAUAAACAGUUGUGAACAAGGGUCUCUGGUUUUCCUAGGCAGAGGAUCCUGCGGCCUUCUGCAGUGUUUGUGUUCCUGGGUACUUGAGAUUGGGGAGUGGUGAUGACUCUUAACGAGCAUGCUGCCUUGAAGCAUCUGUUUAACAAAGCGCAUCUUGCACUGCCCUUAAUCCAUUUAAACCUGAGUGGACACAGCACAUGUUUCAGAGAGCACGGGGUUGGGGGUAAGGUUAUAGAUAACAGCAUCCCAAGGCAGAAGAAUUUUUCUUAGUAUAGAACAAAAUGGAGUCUCCUAUGUCUACUACUAUCUACACAGACACAGUAACAAUCUUAUCUUUCUUUUCCCCACAUUUCCCCCUUUUCUAUUCGACAAAACUGCCAUCGUCAUCAUGGCCCGUUCUCAGUGAGCUGUUGGGUACACCUCCCAGACGGGGUGGAGGCCAGGCGGAGGCGCCCCCCCACCUCCCAGACGGGGCGGCUGGCCAGGCGGGGGCUGCCCCCCACCUCCCUUCCUCCUGGACAGGGCAGCUGGCUGGUCGGGGGCUGCCCCCCACCUCCCUCCCGGACGGGGCAGCUGCCGGGCGGAGACCCUCCUCACUUCCCAGACGGGGCAGCUGCCAGGCAGAGGGGCUCCUCACUUUCCCAGACAGGGCAGCUGCUGGGCGGAGGGGCUCCUCACUUCUCAGACGGGGUGGCCAGGCAGAGACGCUCGUCACCUCCCAGACGGGGUGGUGUUCAGGCAGAGACACUCCUCAGUUCCCAGACGGGGUCACGGCCGGGUAGAGGCGCUCCUCACAUCCUAGACAGGGCAGUGGGGCAGAGGCGCUCCCCACAUCUCAGACGAUGGGCGGCAAGGCAGAGACGCUCCUCACUUCCUAGAUGGGAUGGCGCCGGGAAGAGGCGCUCCUCACUUCCCAGACUGGGCGGCAGGGCAGAGGCGCUCCUCACAUCCCAGACCAUGGGCGGCCAGGCAGAGACACUCCUCACUUCCUAGAUGGGAUGGUGGCCGGGAAGAGGCGCUCCUCACUUCCCAGACUGGGCAGCCGGGC